CCUACGGGUGGGCAGCAGUGGGGGAUAUUGCAAAAUGGAGGAAACUCUGAUGCAGCGACGCCGCGUGAGGGAAGACGGUCUUCGGAUUGUAAACCUCUGUCUUUGGGGAAGAAAAUGACGGUACCCAAAGAGGAAGCUCCGGCAAACUACGUGCCAGCAGCCGCGGUAAUACGUAGGGAGCGAGCGUUGUCCGGAAUUACUGGGUUUAAAGGGUGCGUAGGCGGAAUGCCAAGUCAGCGGUAAAAUCGUGGGGCUAAACCGCGCUCUGCCGUUGAAACUGGCGUUCUUGAGUGGGUGAGAGGUAUGCGGAAUGCGUGGUGUAGCGGUGAAAUGCAUAGAUAUCACGAAGAACUCCGAUUGCGAAGGCAGCAUGCCGGCGCCCAACUGACGCUGAAGCACGAAAGCGUGGGUAUCGAACAGGAUUAGAUACCCUUGUAGUC
rnacentral:rRNA from 1 species